UAGAGUUUGAUCCUGGCUCAGAUUGAACGCUGGCGGCAGGCCUAACACAUGCAAGUCGAGCGGAUGAGAGGAGCUUGCUCCUUAAUUCAGCGGCGGACGGGUGAGUAAUGCCUAGGAAUCUGCCUGGUAGUGGGGGACAACGUUUCGAAAGGAACGCUAAUACCGCAUACGUCCUACGGGAGAAAGCAGGGGACCUUCGGGCCUUGCGCUAUCAGAUGAGCCUAGGUCGGAUUAGCUAGUUGGUGAGGUAAUGGCUCACCAAGGCGACGAUCCGUAACUGGUCUGAGAGGAUGAUCAGUCACACUGGAACUGAGACACGGUCCAGACUCCUACGGGAGGCAGCAGUGGGGAAUAUUGGACAAUGGGCGAAAGCCUGAUCCAGCCAUGCCGCGUGUGUGAAGAAGGUCUUCGGAUUGUAAAGCACUUUAAGUUGGGAGGAAGGGCAGUAAAUUAAUACUUUGCUGUUUUGACGUUACCGACAGAAUAAGCACCGGCUAACUCUGUGCCAGCAGCCGCGGUAAUACAGAGGGUGCAAGCGUUAAUCGGAAUUACUGGGCGUAAAGCGCGCGUAGGUGGUUCGUUAAGUUGGAUGUGAAAUCCCCGGGCUCAACCUGGGAACUGCAUUCAAAACUGUCGAGCUAGAGUAUGGUAGAGGGUGGUGGAAUUUCCUGUGUAGCGGUGAAAUGCGUAGAUAUAGGAAGGAACACCAGUGGCGAAGGCGACCAC
rnacentral:rRNA from 1 species